UACGUAGGGGGCAAGCGUUGUCCGGAAUCAUUGGGCGUAAAGCGCGUGUAGGCGGCUCGGUAAGUCCGCUCUGAAAGUCCAGGGCUCAACCCUGGGAUGCGGGUGGAUACUGCCGAGCUCGAGUCUGGAAGAGGCGAGUGGAAUUCCUGGUGUAGCGGUGAAAUGCGCAGAUAUCAGGAGGAACACCAAUGGCGAAGGCAGCUCGCUGGGACGUACUGACGCUGAGGCGCGAAAGCCAGGGGAGCAAACGGG
rnacentral:rRNA from 1 species